rnacentral:rRNA from 1 species
GACGAACGCUGGCGGCGCGCUUAACACAUGCAAGUCGAACGGAAAGGCCUGCUUUCCCUUGUGGAUUGCGGGUACUCGAGUGGCGAACGGGUGAGUAACACGUGAGUGAUCUGCCCCCAACUUGGGUAUAAGCCUGGGAAACUGGGUCUAAUUCCCGAUAGGACUGCAGGGUGGUGCCUGUGGUGGAAAACGAUUUUCUAGUGGUUGGGGAUGAGCUCGCGGCCUAUCAGCUUGUUGGUGGGGUAAUGGCCUACCAAGGCGGCGACGGGUAGCCGGCCUGGGAGGGUGGACGGCCACAUUGGGACUGAGAUACGGCCCAGACUCCUACGGGAGGCAGCAGUGGGGAAUAUUGCACGAUGGGCGGAAGCCUGAUGCAGCGACGCCGCGUGGGGGAUGACGGCCUUCGGGUUGUAACCUCCUUUCGACCGCGAGGAAGCCACCUGGUUGGAAGGGUGGUGACGGUAGUGGUAGAAGAAGCACCGGCUAACUACGUG